rnacentral:rRNA from 1 species
GCAGUCGAACGAAGUAGCAAUACUUAGUGGCAGACGGGUGAGUAACAUGUAGGUAUCUGCCCUUUGGCCUGGAAUAACACGAGGAAACUUGUGCUAAUACCGGAUAAGUCUUUACGGAGAAAGCUUUAUGCACCAUUGGAUGAGCCUGCACUUGAUUAGUUUGUUGGUGGGGUAAUGGCCUACCAAGACUGUGUUCAAUAGCUGAUUUGAGAGGAUGAUCAGCCACAUUGGGACUGAGACACGGCCCAAACUCCUACGGGAGGCAGCAGUGGGGAAUCUUGCACAAUGGAGGAAACUCUGAUGCAGCGAUGCCGCGUGAGUGAAGAAGGCCUUUGGGUUGUAAAGCUCUUUCGUCGGGGAAGAAAAUGACUGUACCCGAAUAAGAAGGUCCGGCUAACUUCGUGCCAGCAGCCGCGGUAAUACGAAGGGACCUAGCGUAGUUCGGAAUUACUGGGCUUAAAGAGUUCGUAGGUGGUUGAAAAAGUUGGUGGUGAAAUCCCAGAGCUUAACUCUGGAACUGCCAUCAAAACUUUUCAGCUAGAGUAUGAUAGAGGAAAGCAGAAUUUCUAGUGUAGGGGUGAAAUUCGUAGAUAUUAGAAAGAAUACCAAUUGCGAAGGCAGCUUUCUGGAUCAUUACUGACACUGAGGAACGAAAGCAUGGGUAGCGAAGAGGAUUAGAUACCCUCGUAGUCCAUGCCGUAAACGAUGUGUGUUAGACGUUGGAAAUUUAUUUUCAGUGUCGCAGCAAAAGCGAUAAACACACCGCCUGGGGAGUACGACCG